rnacentral:rRNA from 1 species
GACGUAGGGCGCAAGCGUUGUCCGGAUUUAUUGGGCGUAAAGAGCUCGUAGGCGGCUCGUUGCGUCGGCUGUGAAAACCCGCAGCUCAACUGUGGGCUUGCAGCCGAUACGGGCGGGCUGGAGUUCGGUAGGGGAGACUGGAAUUCCUGGUGUAGCGGUGAAAUGCGCAGAUAUCAGGAGGAACACCGGUGGCGAAGGCGGGUCUCUGGGCCGAUGACUGACGCUGAGGUGCGAAAGCGUGGGGAGCGAACAGG